rnacentral:rRNA from 1 species
AUUGAACGCUGGCGGCAUGCCUUACACAUGCAAGUCGAACGGUAACAGGUUAAGCUGACGAGUGGCGAACGGGUGAGUAAUGUAUCGGAACGUGCCCAGUCGUGGGGGAUAACUGCUCGAAAGAGCAGCUAAUACCGCAUACGACCUGAGGGUGAAAGCGGGGGAUCGCAAGACCUCGCGCGAUUGGAGCGGCCGAUAUCAGAUUAGGUAGUUGGUGAGGUAAAGGCUCACCAAGCCGACGAUCUGUAGCUGGUCUGAGAGGACGACCAGCCACACUGGGACUGAGACACGGCCCAGACUCCUACGGGAGGCAGCAGUGGGGAAUUUUGGACAAUGGGCGCAAGCCUGAUCCAGCCAUGCCGCGUGCGGGAAGAAGGCCUUCGGGUUGUAAACCGCUUUUGUCAGGGAAGAAAAAGUUCUGGCUAAUACCUGGGACUCAUGACGGUACCUGAAGAAUAAGCACCGGCUAACUACGUG